rfam:Corynebacterium humireducens NBRC 106098 = DSM 45392, complete genome.
GGCUUUUUUCGCGGCGGAGCUCGACCGCCCACAGAAAUAGUCGUGCGGUUCAUCGACACUUACCGCGUCGAGUUCGGGGUCGAGCCCAUCAUCCGCGUUCUGGCGACCACCACCGCGAAGAUUGCCCUG